UGGGGAAUCUUAGACAAUGGGGGAAACCCUGAUCUAGCCAUGCCGCGUGAGUGAUGAAGGCCUUAGGGUUGUAAAGCUCUUUCAGCUGGGAAGAUAAUGACGGUACCAGCAGAAGAAGCCCCGGCUAACUCCGUGCCGGCAGCCGCGGUAAUACGGAGGGGGCUAGCGUUGUUCGGAAUUACUGGGCGUAAAGCGCACGUAGGCGGACCGGAAAGUUGGAGGUGAAAUCCCGGGGCUCAACCUUGGAACUGCCUUCAAAACUAUCGGUCUGGAGUUCGAGAGAGGUGAGUGGAAUUCCGAGUGUAGAGGUGAAAUUCGUAGAUAUUCGGAGGAACACCAGUGGCGAAGGCGGCUCACUGGCUCGAUACUGACGCUGAGGUGCGAAAGCGUGGGGAGCAAACA
rnacentral:rRNA from 1 species